rnacentral:rRNA from 2 species
CGACUCUCGGCAACGGAUAUCUCGGCUCUCGCAUCGAUGAAGAACGUAGCGAAAUGCGAUACUUGGUGUGAAUUGCAGAAUCCCGUGAACCAUCGAGUCUUUGAACGCAAGUUGCGCCCGAAGCCAUCCGGCCGAGGGCACGUCUGCCUGGGCGUCACA